GCCCAUGGCCAUACCACCCUGAAUGUGCCCAUCUUGUCUAAUCUUGGAAGCUAAGCAGGGUCAGUCCUAGUUAGUACUUGGGUGGGAGGGUGUUGUAGGCA
ensembl:rRNA 5S_rRNA 5S ribosomal RNA